rnacentral:rRNA from 1 species
ACACUCCUGCGGGAGGCAGCAGUGGGGAAUAUUGCACAAUGGGCGCAAGCCUGAUGCAGCCAUGCCGCGUGUAUGAAGAAGGCCUUCGGGUUGUAAAGUACUUUCAGCGGGGAGGAAGGCAAUACGGUUAAUAACCGUGUUGAUUGACGUUACCCGCAGAAGAAGCACCGGCUAACUCCGUGCCAGCAGCCGCGGUAAUACGGAGGGUGCAAGCGUUAAUCGGAAUUACUGGGCGUAAAGCGCACGCAGGCGGUCUGUCAAGUCGGAUGUGAAAUCCCCGGGCUCAACCUGGGAACUGCAUUCGAAACUGGCAGGCUUGAGUCUUGUAGAGGGGGGUAGAAUUCCAGGUGUAGCGGUGAAAUGCGUAGAGAUCUGGAGGAAUACCGGUGGCGAAGGCGGCCCCCUGGACAAAGACUGACGCUCAGGUGCGAAAGCGUGGGGAGCAAACAGGAUUAGAAACCCUAGUAGUCCCAU